GAUGAAGAACGUAGCGAAAUGCGAUAAGUAAUGUGAAUUGCAGAAUUCAGUGAAUCAUCGAAUCUUUGAACGCACAUUGCGCCCUCUGGUAUUCCGGGGGGCAUGCCUGUUCGAGCGUCAUUAUAACCACUCAAGCUCUCGCUUGGUAUUGGGGUUCGCGGUUCCGCGGCCCCUAAAAUCAGUGGCGGUGCCUGUCGGCUCUACGCGUAGUAAUACUCCUCGCGAUUGAGACCGGUAGGUCUACUUGCCAGCAACCCCCAAUUUUUACAGGUUGACCUCGGAUCAGGUAGGGAUACCCGCUGAACUUAAGCAUAUCAAUAAGCGGAGGA
rnacentral:misc_RNA from 1 species